rnacentral:rRNA from 1 species
CCUACGGGUGGCUGCAGUGAGGAAUAUUGGUCAAUGGCCGGAAGGCUGAACCAGCCAAGCCGCGUGAGGGAGGAAGGCGCAGAGCGUCGCAGACCUCUUUUGCCGGGGGACAAAAGGCCGGACUUGUCCGGUCCUGAGGGUACCCGGAGAAAAAACAUCGGCAAACGCCGUGCCAGCCGCCGCGGUAAUACGGAGGAGGCGAGGGUUAUCCGGAUUUGUUGGGGUUAAAGGGUGCGCAGGGGGGCCUGUAAGCCAGCGGUGAAAUCGCGGGGCUCAACCCCGCCGCGCCGUCGUAACUGGGGGCCUUGAGUGCGGCGGAGGCAUGCGGAAUGCGCGGUGUAGCGGUGAAAUGCAUAGAUAUCGCGCAGAACCGCGAUUGCGAAGGCAGCAUGCCGUGCCGCCACUGACGCUGAGGCACGAAAGCGCGGGGAUCGAACAGGAUUAGAUACCCCAGUAGUC